UACAGAGGGUGCGAGCGUUAAUCGGAAUUACCGGGCGUAAAGCGUGCGUAGACGGCUAUCUAAGUCGGGUGUGAAAGCCCCGGGCUCAACCUGGGAAUUGCAUUCGAGACUGAAUAGCUAGGGUGCGGUAGAGGGAAGCGGAAUUUCCGGUGUAGCGGUCAAAUGCGUAGAUAUCGGAAGGAACAUCAGUGGCGAAAGCGGCUUCCUGGACCAGCACCGACGUUCAGGCACGAAAGCGUGGGGAGCAAACAGG
rnacentral:rRNA from 1 species